AUGGCCAAGAGCUGGAAGGAGCAGCCUUGGGAGGGAAAAUCCAUUUUCCCUCUCCAAGGAAGGAGACAGGAAGACACACACAGCACAACAAAGACCAGGCACCCAAGUCUUCUUCGUGUGAUCAAUUUCAGAGGGGAAAACGCCACACCAGGCUUCCACUCAUUAGGCCACCCACCCACCCGCCAAGUCCCAUCCCCUUCCUCCCUCGCCCGGCUGCAGGAGCAACCCAGGUGCUCCCAGGAACCCUCUCCCACUGGAUCCCAGCUGCGUGCUCUUCCCUACCUGCAGCCUCCUCGUCCUGGUGGCUGUUGCUGCUCUCCACCACCGAGUCUGCAGAAACACACCGCGGGAAUCAAGGACGUACAAACAGCGGCCCUCCCGCGUCUCCCCGUCCCUGAGGUGACUGCGGGUCACGGAGCAUCACCCUGGUUUUUCCUCCAGGUGCCCACACCUGCCCUCGGCUCCAGGGACUGAGACGCUUCGACCCAAUGUGAGCACAGAUGCCAACAUUCCGGCACCUCUUCAUCUGCUCCCUCUCCCUCUUAAAACAGGCGAUGAACAUCUUUACACCAAUUUCUUUCUGUUGUUAGAUUUCAGACUCACCUGCCCCACACCCCAAGCAGCAGGCGCAACCCAAGUGUCCCGGGAACCCUCUCCCAUUGGCCCCUACCCGAGAGCUGUUCCUACCUGUGUCAUCUUCAUCGUGGACGCUGCCACACAGACUGUCCAUGCUCUGUGCUGCAGAAACACAGACAUGAGGAAUCAAGGUGUUAGAAUCUGUCCCCCACUUAUGUCGCCUACCGAUGUUUGUCUGGGCCUCACAGCACUGCCCUGGUCUGUCCUCCGUGUGCUCAGAACUUCCCUGGCUCUAUGGCCUCAACGUGUCUCUGCAACCAAAGGAGCAGGAAAGCCCCCCCUCCCUUCCUCAACACCUGGACUUCUCCUCAGCGGAGCAGGGUUCCAGAAUACUCACAGCUUUCACCGUCCGUCCCGUCCACCUGCAAUGACAGAUAAGAAAACACGUGAGCGUCACAGCAUCCUCUGCACGGUGGCCGCAGGUCUUCCUGCUGUUGGGGACCACAGGCAGGCACACAGAAGGCAGAGUUGAGUCGGUUUCCCCAAAAGAAGACAACGAAGACACCUUUGGAAAAGGCGCGAACUUCUCACGAAGACCUCCCCAGGCCAUGUUCCUUCUAAUAACAUUCCGGCCUCUUCAUAGAAAAAUGCUCCCUACUGUACCCUUGGGAACUGAUGCGCUCCCUUUUGCAAAUGCCCCUUGGAAGGAGCUAGUUGCUGGUACCAAACGUUGACGCCACAUUCCUCCGCAGAGGAAUCUGCAUGCCUCAUAAACAAUGGACUUCCUCAGAUUUUCAUUUCUCAGGUAGGAAUAUCAAAAAAGAAAGGAGGCGACUUUUCCAACCUCACAUCAAGAAAGGUGAGCUUACCUUGGGGGCAGAUUCAUCUUCCUGCUCAG
rnacentral:lncRNA from 1 species